GGGAAUGUGGCUUAGUGGUAGAGUGCUUGCCUAGCAUGCAUUAAGUCCUGGGUUCGAUUCCUCAGUACCA
rfam:Dipodomys ordii contig_50899, whole genome shotgun sequence.